CGUAGGUUGGCUCUUUAGGGCUUCACCCCGAAGCUCCACCUUCGCUCCCGUCUUUCUGGAAACACCGCUUUGAUCUCGGCGGUGCGGGACAGGUACCUCCCGGCUGCUGCGGGUGCCCUGGAUCCAGUCGGCUGCACCAGGCGAGCGAGACCCUUCCCUGGUGGAGGCUCAGAGUUCCGGCAGGGUGCAUCCGGCCUGUGUGUGGCGCGAGGCAGGGAAGCCGGUACCCGGGUCCUGGCCCCAGCGCUGACGUUUUCUCUCCCCUUUCUUCUCUCUUCGCGGUUGCGGCGUCGCAGACGCUAGUGUGAGCCCCCAUGGCAGAUACGACCCCGAACGGCCCCCAAGGGGCGGGCGCUGUGCAAUUCAUGAUGACCAAUAAACUGGACACGGCAAUGUGGCUUUCUCGCUUGUUCACAGUUUACUGCUCUGCUCUGUUUGUUCUGCCUCUUCUUGGGUUGCAUGAAGCAGCAAGCUUUUACCAACGUGCUUUGCUGGCAAAUGCUCUUACCAGUGCUCUGAGGCUGCAUCAAAGAUUACCACACUUCCAGUUAAGCAGAGCAUUCCUGGCCCAGGCUUUGUUAGAGGACAGCUGCCACUACCUGUUGUAUUCACUCAUCUUUGUAAAUUCCUAUCCAGUUACAAUGAGUAUCUUCCCAGUCUUGUUAUUCUCUUUGCUUCAUGCUGCCACAUAUACGAAAAAGGUCCUUGACGUAAGGGCUCAAAUAGUUUACCUCUGCUGAGAUCUGUCUUGGACAAAUUAAGUGCUAAUCAACAAAAUAUUCUGAAAUUCAUUGCUUGCAAUGAAAUAUUCCUGAUGCCUGCGACAGUUUUUAUGCUUUUUAGUGGUCAAGGAAGUUUGCUCCAACCUUUUAUAUACUAUAGAUUUCUUACCCUUCGAUAUUCGUCUCGAAGAAACCCAUAUUGUCGGACCUUAUUUAAUGAACUGAGGAUUGUUGUUGAACACAUAAUAAUGAAACCUGCUUGCCCACUGUUUGUGAGAAGACUUUGUCUCCAGAGCAUUGCCUUUAUAAGCAGAUUGGCACCAACAGUUCCAUAGUUUAACAUCUAGUUAAGCUACAAAUAUAGUAUAAGCAUUAUUAGCAGCUGGUACUUCUGCUAGGGGUUGUAAAUUCCAGGUGUUACACUGACCUCAAUCCAAUUUACAUAAUUUACAUAAAUGCAUCUCGGUGGAAAAAUAAUCAUUUUCUUGGCAUGUUAAAUCAAGCUUAAAAAGUUUUGAGAAAAUUUUACUGCGCUGUGUUGCUAAUGGUUAAAGAAGUCUGUAUCUAGUGAUAAAUAUACCAGUUUUUUUAAAAAGAUGCUGUUGUGCCUAUAUCAUGAAGUACAUUAAUUUCUCAUGUAAAAAAAAUAGCUCUAAAAUUUGUUUCAACCUAAUUGGUAACCUGAGUUUAUAUCUGGCAUGAAUUCAUUAUGGUGAUACACAUAUGUGAAUUCAGUACAUUUUGAGACAGUAUUCUACCAUUCAGUAAUUUUGGUUAAUGAUUUUAACACUUCUCAGUGUAUUUAAUUUCAAAUUGUUUUUUUAAUUGGUUUUAUGCUGCUUUGUUAGGACAGAUGUGUUUUGAAUGUACCAUUAUAAGAAGAAUUCUAUGUAUCUUAAACUAUGAUCUUCUAAAAUUUUAUUUCCGUAAGUACUUCUGUGGCCUUGAGUAUUUUUUAAAAGGCUCAACUGUAAGCCUCUUAGCCAGUUGGAUAAAUAUUUGGGGUCACCUAGCCAUUGAAAGCAGAAAGCAGUAGUGACACAGCUUUCCCUUCAAAGAGCCAUUGAGAAACAUUUCUCAAACAGGAAAUCCUUCUUUUACUAAUGUGGACAUAUAGAUUAUUCGUAUUAUAGUUUGUAGAACUACCUAGUUCAGAAUCUUGACUGCCAGUUUUCUUGGUUUCUUAGGCUUGAAUUUUCAUAGACAAUUGCAACAGUUUAGAUGCCUUUUGAAAGGAAUGUAAUGAAGAUUCAGCAUCUGACUAUAUGUGUGUCUAUCCUGAAAUAAUAAUGGAGAGUAUACUGUAGAUUACAUGUUUACCCAUCAAAUCUGACUUAAAAGGUUAAAUGGAAGGUUUUAUAGGUAAGGUAAUUGAUUGGGAAUGGGGUAGGGGGAGGAGUUGUGGGGGAAUAAUGUGCAUUUCAGUCUCAACGCAUAGAUAAAUUUAGGGGAAUUGGAUGUAUUAUUCAACUUUGAUUUGGGUUGUAAAAUGUGUUAAAUCCUGUUCAUUGAACUCCCAUCAACUCUUAUAAAAUUCAUGCUGAUCUUCAUUACCGUUGCAUGAUUGGAAAUGUUUAAAACAUUGUACAGUUUUAGUAUAGAGAAAUGUAAUGGUUUUUGUGACCAGUUUCUGUCUGCAUGUAAUUUGGAUUUCUCAA
rnacentral:lncRNA from 1 species